AUACGUAGGGGGCGAGCGUUGUCCGGAAUGAUUGGGCGUAAAGGGCGCGUAGGCGGCCUGUUAAGUCUGGAGUGAAAGUCCUGUUUUCAAGAUGGGAAUUGCUUUGGAUACUGAUGGGCUUGAGUGCAGGAGAGGUUAUCGGAAUUCCCGGUGUAGCGGUGAAAUGCGUAGAGAUCGGGAGGAACACCAGUGGCGAAGGCGGGUAACUGGACUGCAACUGACGCUGAGGCGCGAAAGUGUGGGGAGCAAACAGGAUUAGAUACCCUGGUAGUCCACACUGUAAACGAUGAAUGCUAGGUGUAAGAGGUAUCGACCCCUUUGGUGCCGGAGUUAACACAAUAAGCAUUCCGCCUGGGGAGUACGGCCGCAAGGUUGGAACUUAAAGGAAUUGACGGGG
rnacentral:rRNA from 1 species